UGCGUAGGCGGCCUGACAAGUCAGAGGUGAAAGGCUACGGCUUAACCGUAGUAAGCCUUUGAAACUGACAGGCUUGAGUGCAGGAGAGGAAAGUGGAAUUCCUAGUGUAGCGGUGAAAUGCGUAGAUAUUAGGAGGAACACCAGGGGCGCAGGCGACUUUCUGGACUGUAACUGACGCUGAGGCACGAAAGCGUGGGGAGCGAACAGGAUUAGAUACCCUGGUAGUC
rnacentral:rRNA from 1 species